AUUCGCGGCCUAUCAGCUUGUUGGUGGGGUAAUGGCCUACCAAGGCGACGACGGGUAGCCGGCCUGAGAGGGUGACCGGCCACACUGGGACUGAGAUACGGCCCAGACUCCUACGGGAGGCAGCAGUGGGGAAUAUUGCACAAUGGGCGCAAGCCUGAUGCAGCGACGCCGCGUGAGGGAUGACGGCCUUCGGGUUGUAAACCUCUUUCAGCACAGACGAAGCGCAAGUGACGGUAUGUGCAGAAGAAGGACCGGCCAACUACGUGCCAGCAGCCGCGGUAAUACGUAGGGUCCGAGCGUUGUCCGGAAUUACUGGGCGUAAAGAGCUCGUAGGUGGUUUGUCGCGUUGUUCGUGAAAACUCACAGCUUAACUGUGGGCGUGCGGGCGAUACGGGCAGACUUGAGUACUGCAGGGGAGACUGGAAUUCCUGGUGUAGCGGUGGAAUGCGCAGAUAUCAGGAGGAACACCGGUGGCGAAGGCGGGUCUCUGGGCAGUAACUGACGCUGAGGAGCGAAAGCGUGGGGAGCGAACAGGAUUAGAUACCCUGGUAGUCCACGCCGUAAACGGUGGGUACUAGGUGUGGGUUUCCUUCCUUGGGAUCCGUGCCGUAGCUAACGCAUUAAGUACCCCGCCUGGGGAGUACGGAAU
rnacentral:rRNA from 1 species